CGAACGCUGGCGGCGUGCUUAACACAUGCAAGUCGAACGCUGAAGCUCAGCUUUUGUUGGGUGGAUGAGUGGCGAACGGGUGAGUAACACGUGAGUAACCUGCCCCCUUCUUUGGGAUAACGCCCGGAAACGGGUGCUAAUACUGGAUAUUCACUGGUCUUCGCAUGGGGGUUGGUGGAAAGGGUUUUUCUGGUGGGGGAUGGGCUCGCGGCCUAUCAGCUUGUUGGUGGGGUGAUGGCCUACCAAGGCUUUGACGGGUAGCCGGCCUGAGAGGGUGACCGGUCACAUUGGGACUGAGAUACGGCCCAGACUUCUACGGGAGGCAGCAGUGGGGAAUAUUGCACAAUGGGCGCAAGCCUGAUGCAGCGACGCCGCGUGAGGGAUGGAGGCCUUCGGGUUGUGAACCUCUUUCGCUCAUGGUCAAGCCGCAACAAUGGUUGUGGUGAGGGUAGUGGGUAAAGAAGCGCCGGCUAACUACGUG
rnacentral:rRNA from 1 species